rnacentral:rRNA from 1 species
AUGAACGCUGGCGGCGUGCCUAAUACAUGCAAGUCGAGCGAACAGAUGAGGAGCUUGCUCCUCUGACGUUAGCGGCGGACGGGUGAGUAACACGUGGAUAACCUACCUAUAAGACUGGGAUAACUUCGGGAAACCGGAGCUAAUACCGGAUAAUAUAUUGAACCGCAUGGUUCAAUAGUGAAAGACGGUUUUGCUGUCACUUAUAGAUGGAUCCGCGCCGCAUUAGCUAGUUGGUAAGGUAACGGCUUACCAAGGCAACGAUGCGUAGCCGACCUGAGAGGGUGAUCGGCCACACUGGAACUGAGACACGGUCCAGACUCCUACGGGAGGCAGCAGUAGGGAAUCUUCCGCAAUGGGCGAAAGCCUGACGGAGCAACGCCGCGUGAGUGAUGAAGGUCUUCGGAUCGUAAAACUCUGUUAUUAGGGAAGAACAAAUGUGUAAGUAACUAUGCGCGUCUUGACGGUACCUAAUCAGAAAGCCACGGCUAACUACGUG